AUAUUCCCCAAUCAGGGAGGGGUGAGAAGCCUCGACAGGGUUCGACAAAAUGGCUCGCAUCGCAGAGACAUUUUGGACGGCCGACCGGCCGCCCGCAGGGUGAGCUUGCGAAUCAAGCCCUCCCUCACCGCCA
rnacentral:sRNA from 1 species